ACCGCUGGCCGGACCCCCAAGCUAGCCCGCCAGGCCUCCAUAGAGCUGCCCAGCAUGGCUGUGGCCAGUACCAAGAGUCGGUGGGAGACGGGUGAGGUACAGGCUCAGUCUGCGGCCAAGACUCCGUCCUGCAAGGAUAUUGUGGCUGGAGACAUGAGCAAGAAAAGCCUCUGGGAGCAGAAGGGAGGCUCCAAGACCUCAUCAACAAUUAAGGUAGAGCCUAAAUGUGGUUGGUGCAGGCAGG
rnacentral:sRNA from 2 species